rnacentral:rRNA from 1 species
UACGGAAGGCAGCAGUGGGGAAUAUUGCACAAUGGGCACAAGCCUGAUGCAGCCAUGCCGCGUGUAUGAAGAAGGCCUUCGGGUUGUAAAGUACUUUCAGUCGUGAGGAAGGUGUUAAGGUUAAUAACCUUAGCAAUUGACGUUAGCGACAGAAGAAGCACCGGCUAACUCCGUGCCAGCAGCCGCGGUAAUACGGAGGGUGCGAGCGUUAAUCGGAAUUACUGGGCGUAAAGGGCACGCAGGCGGUUAAUUAAGUUGGAUGUGAAAUCCCCGGGCUUAACCUGGGAACGGCAUUCAAGACUGGUUAGCUAGAGUCUUGUAGAGGGGGUAGAAUUCCAUGUGUAGCGGUGAAAUGCGUAGAGAUGUGGAGGAAUACCGGUGGCGAAGGCGGCCCCUGGACAAAGACUGACGCUCAUGUGCGAAAGCGUGGGGAGCAAACAGGGAUUAGAUACC